UCCGAACCUAUCAGCGCUCUGGAAAAUGCCAACUACUAGACAGAUGCCGUGUCUGUGACUCCAGUCGAGCUGACAGUCUGUGAUUGGGCUCUUGGCAGUUGCAGUGGGAGUGGCAGACUCGCUGGCACCCGAGCGAGCUCUGGACGAAUGUGAUGUGAAUUUUUGCAGAAGGAAAUCAAGAGAAUCAGCUGCAAGACAGACACAGAUAUGCCUCGAACUUCAACAGAGCCAGCUCAUACGCCACAGAUACCUGACUCCAAUGUCCAGAGCCGAUUCCUCCUUAAACUGGACACAGUCAUCGAAAAUCAGACAGUUGUUGCACCUUCUGCACACGCUAGUUAACAGGAAUGCAGAGGACGAGGAAUUUGUGGAUGUUCUCCCUGCCCCACUCACAUUGACACAGGAAUUUGAAGACCUUUGCCAGAAAAUUUAAUCUGAUGACAAGUUUAAAAAACAAAUGAUAUCCUAUCUGACUUCUGUGGGUGGCAAAAUGUUGGGGACAGUGUUCGCCGAAUGAUGAGGAAGGUCGGCACCAAUGACCUUUGGUCUAAUUAUAGCCUCAAAGGGAAAAGGGGGAAGAAGCCACUACUUGAGCUACCACUUAUUAUGGUAUUGACUAGUAAGUAUGCAGUGAAGUAACAUUUUUUUUCUUUGACUAUAGAAAUUAACUUAGUUAUAGACAAUACACAAAACUUUGGCCUAGACCAAAUAGAAACUUUGACCCACCCACUAAUCAGAAAUUACAACCCAGUACUUGAUAGUGUUUUUUCAUGACUAGAAGAAAGAACCAUCUGAUAAAAAAAACCCGCCACUGGGUACAGGUAAUUUUUAUCAGACUACAGAUUUGGUCUAGGCAAGGGGUCGGCAACACUGGUCCUGGAGAGUCGCAGACCCUCCUGGUUUUUGUUUUACCCCCCCAAACCCCUUAAUAAAUUAAUCGAUUCAAUGAUUGGUCUUAAUUGGUCAGAAUUCCUAUGUUGUUCCAGCAGCAGGUAUUUAGCAAUUGAUGAUUAAGAGAUACCUGCAGGAUUGAGGCUCUCUAGGACCAGGGUUGCCGAACCCCUAGUCUAGGCCUUAUGGUAUGACAUGCAUAUGGAAAGGUGUGA